rnacentral:rRNA from 1 species
GUGGAUUAGAUACCCGGGUAGUCCACGCGGUAAACGAUGAAUGCUAGGUGUUGCGGGUAUCGACCCCUGCAGUGCCGGAGUAAACACAAUAAGCAUUCCGCCUGGGGAGUACGGCCGCAAGGUUGAAACUCAAAGGAAUUGACGGGGGCCCGCACAAGCAGCGGAGCAUGUUGUUUAAUUCGAAGCAACGCGAAGAACCUUACCAGGUCUUGACAUCCAAUUAAGCUCAUAGAGAUAUGAGGUCUCUUCGGAGGAAUUGAGACAGGUGGUGCAUGGCCGUCGACAGCU